UACGAAGGGGGCUAGCGUUGUUCGGAUUUACUGGGCGUAAAGCGCACGUAGGCGGAUCGUUAAGUCGGGGGUGAAAUCCUGGAGCUCAACUCCAGAACUGCCUUCGAUACUGGCGAUCUUGAGUCCGGAAGAGGUGAGUGGAACUCCUAGUGUAGAGGUGGAAUUCGUAGAUAUUAGGAAGAACACCAGAGGCGAAGGCAGCGAAUUGGCCCUAUAUUGACGCUCAGGCACGAAAGCAUGGGGAUCAAACAGG
rnacentral:rRNA from 1 species